CACGUAGGGUGCGAGCGUUGUCCGGAAUUAUUGGGCGUAAAGAGCUCGUAGGCGGUGUGUCGCGUCGGCCGUGAAAACCUGCAGCUUAACUGUGGGCCUGCAGCCGAUACGGGCGGGCUAGGAUUCGGUAGGGGAGACUGGAAUUCCUGGUGUAGCGGUGAAAUGCGCAGAUAUCAGGAGGAACACCGGUGGCGAAGGCGGGUCUCUGGGCCGAUAUCGACGCUGAGGAGCGAAAGCGUGGGGAGCGAACAGG
rnacentral:rRNA from 1 species